AUAAGAAUAAAAUAUUGGCGAUUAUCGCCUAUUGGCAACCUCGAAUAAUGGUAUUAACCAAUGUGUUUCAACUGAAUAACGAAAAGUGUUCCUAAAUUCUAUCAAUGUGCUGAGCAAUCCGCUGGUUUAGCAGAUUGAUUUAAGAACACGCGGAUUAUUUUCCUCGGAACGAUUCCUACCGCGGAUCUCAAACCAAACGCCGGGCCGCAGACCCCGCACGUGAAGAUAUUUCGGACCGCUCGAAUAAUCGUUUUUUUACGUUU